GAUUAUGGCUCAGAACGAACGCUGGCGGCAGGCCUAACACAUGCAAGUCGAGCGCGCCCUUCGGGGUGAGCGGCGGACGGGUUAGUAACGCGUGGGAACGUACCCUUUGGUAGGGAAUAGCCACUGGAAACGGUGAGUAAUACCCUAUGAGCCCUUCGGGGGAAAGAUUUAUCGCCAAAGGAUCGGCCCGCGUUAGAUUAGGUAGUUGGUGGGGUAAUGGCCUACCAAGCCUACGAUCUAUAGCUGGUUUUAGAGGAUGAUCAGCAACACUGGGACUGAGACACGGCCCAGACUCCUACGGGAGGCAGCAGUGGGGAAUCUUGGACAAUGGGGGCAACCCUGAAUCCAGCCAUGCCGCGUGAGUGAAGAAGGCCUUAGGGUCGUAAAGCUCUUUCGCCUGUGAAGAUAAUGACGGUAGCAGGUAAAGAAACCCCGGCUAACUCCGUGCCAGCAGCCGC
rnacentral:rRNA from 1 species